GCUCCCUUGGGCAGCGCGUAGGCUAAAAUUGGAACGAUGCAGAAAAGAUGAGCAUGGCCCCUGCGCCGGGAUAACACACAUUUGUGAAGCGUUUCAUGUUUUU